GGAAUUGACGGGGGNCCGCACAAGCGGUGGAGCANGNGNUUUAAUUNGAAGCAACGCGAAGAACCUUACCAGGUCNUNNCAUCCCUNNGACCNCUCUAGAGAUAGANUUUUCCUUCGGGACAGAGGUGACAGGNGGNNCAUGGUUGUCGUCAGCUCGUGUCGUGAGAUGUUGGGUUAAGUCCCGCAACGAGCGCNNNNCCUAUUGUUAGUUGNCNUCAUUGAGUUGGGCACUCUAGCGAGACUGCCGGUAAUAAACCGGAGGAAGGUGGGGAUGACGUCAAAUCAUCAUGCCCCUUAUGACCUGGGCUACACACGUGCUACAAUGGCUGGUACAACGAGUCGCAAGCCGGUGACGGCAAGCUAAUCUCUGAAAGCCAGUCUCAGUUCGGAUUGUAGGCUGCAACUCGCCUACAUGAAGUCGGAAUCGCUAGUAAUCGCGGAUCAGCACGCCGCGGUGAAUACGUUCCCGGGCCUUGUA
rnacentral:rRNA from 1 species